UAUGUACUCCCUCCGUCCUAAAAUACUUAUCGAAGAAAUGGUUGUAUGUGGACGCAUUUUUGUUCUAAAUACAUCCAUUUUAUCCAUUUCUACGACAAGUAAUUCCAGAUGGAGGGAGUAGUAU
rfam:Triticum aestivum genome assembly, contig: Triticum_aestivum_CS42_TGACv1_scaffold_194422_3AL